rnacentral:rRNA from 1 species
CCUACGGGGAGCAGCAGUGAGGAAUAUUGGUCAAUGGACGAGAGUCUGAACCAGCCAAGUAGCGUGAAGGAUGACUGCCCUAUGGGUUGUAAACUUCUUUUAUAUGGGAAUAAAACGUUCCACGUGUGGGAUUUUGUAUGUACCCUAUGAAUAAGGAUCGGCUAACUCCGUGCCAGCAGCCGCGGUAAUACGGAGGAUCCGAGCGUUAUCCGGAUUUAUUGGGUUUAAAGGGAGCGUAGGUGGAUUGUUAAGUCAGUUGUGAAAGUUUGCGGCUCAACCGUAAAAUUGCAGUUGAAACUGGCAGUCUUGAGUACAGUAGAGGUGGGCGGAAUUCGUGGUGUAGCGGUGAAAUGCUUAGAUAUCACGAAGAACUCCGAUUGCGAAGGCAGUUCACUGGACUGCAACUGACACUGAGGCUCGAAAGUGUGGGUAUCAAACAGGAUUAGAUACCCUUGUAGUC